rnacentral:rRNA from 1 species
UGGGGAAUAUUGCACAAUGGGCGCAAGCCUGAUGCAGCAACGCCGCGUGAACGAUGAAGGUCUUCGGAUCGUAAAGUUCUGUUGCAGGGGAAGAUAAUGACGGUACCCUGUGAGGAAGCCCCGGCUAACUACGUGCCAGCAGCCGCGGUAAUACGUAGGGGGCUAGCGUUGUCCGGAAUUAUUGGGCGUAAAGCGCGCGCAGGCGGACUAGCCAGUCAGUCUUAAAAGUUCGGGGCUUAACCCCGUGAUGGGAUUGAAACUACUAGUCUAGAGUAUCGGAGAGGAAAGUGGAAUUCCUAGUGUAGCGGUGAAAUGCGUAGAUAUUAGGAAGAACACCAGUGGCGAAGGCGACUUUCUGGACGAACACUGACGCUGAGGCGCGAAAGCCAGGGGAGCGAACGGG